rnacentral:rRNA from 1 species
UACGGAGGGGGCGAGCGUUAUUCGGAAUUAUUGGGCGUAAAGGGCGCGUAGGCGGCUUUGCAAGUGACGGGUGAAAUCCCACGGCUUAACCGUGGAACUGCCUGUCAGACUGGAAGGCUUGAGACCGGGAGAGGUGAGUGGAAUUCCCAGUGUAGCGGUGAAAUGCGUAGAUAUUGGGAGGAACACCAGUGGCGAAGGCGGCUCACUGGACCGGAACUGACGCUGAGGCGCGAAAGCGUGGGGAGCAAACAGG